AUACGUAGGGAGCGAGCGUUGUCCGGAUUUACUGGGUGUAAAGGGUGCGUAGGCGGCCAAAUAAGUCAGAUGUGAAAGUCCAGGGCUUAACCGUGGAAUCGCAUUUGAAACUGUAUGGCUUGAGUGCAGGAGAGGAGAGCGGAAUUCCUAGUGUAGUGGUGAAAUGCGUAGAUAUUAGGAAGAACACCAGUGGCGAAGGCGGCUCUCUGGACUGUAACUGACGCUGAGGCACGAAAGCGUGGGGAGCGAACAGGAUUAGAUACCCUGGUAGUCCACGCCGUAAACGAUGAGUGCUAGGUGUCGGGAGUCAAAUCUCGGUGCCGGAGUAAACACAAUAAGCACUCCGCCUGGGGAGUACGGUCGCAAAACUUAA
rnacentral:rRNA from 1 species